rnacentral:rRNA from 1 species
CAGUCGCCGCGGGAAUACGAAGGGGGCUAGCGUUGCUCGGAAUGACUGGGCGUAAAGGGCGCGUAGGCGGUUUGUACAGUUGGAUGUGAAAUUCCUGGGCUUAACCUGGGGGCUGCAUUCAAUACGUGCAGGCUUGAGUGUGGAAGAGGGUUGUGGAAUUCCCAGUGUAGAGGUGAAAUUCGUAGAUAUUGGGAAGAACACCGGUGGCGAAGGCGACUAUCUGGGCCAACACUGACACUGAGGCACGAAAGCGUGGGGAGCAAACAGGAUUAGAUACCCCAGUAGUCCCUGUCUCUUAUAC